GGUAGCGUGGCCGAAUGGUCUAUGGGGCUGGUUUUAGGCACCAGCCAUUUCGAUGACGUGGGUUCGAAAUCCACCAGUUCCG